rnacentral:rRNA from 1 species
UACGUAGGGUGCGAGCGUUGUCCGGAAUUAUUGGGCGUAAAGGGCGCGUAGGCGGUCGUGUGCGUCGGAGGUGAAAUCCCCGGGCUUAACCCGGGAGCUGCCUCCGAUACGGCACGGCUUGAGUCCGGGAGAGGGGAGCAGAAUUCCCAGUGUAGCGGUGAAAUGCGUAGAUAUUGGGAGGAAUACCAGUGGCGAAGGCGGCUCCCUGGACCGGUACUGACGCUGAGGCGCGAAAGCUAGGGGAGCAAACGGG